rnacentral:snoRNA from 1 species
GGAAAUGAUGAGAAUGGAUACAUGAAUUAUGUGGCAUGAUUUUUCACAUUAACCGCAACUAAAUUAUCCAAUAGGUCCUACUGAUUAU